rnacentral:rRNA from 1 species
GUAGGUGGGCAAGCGUUGUCCGGAAUUAUUGGGCGUAAAGCGCGCGCAGGGCGGUCCUUUAAGUCUGAUGUGAAAGCCCACGGCUCAACCGUGGAGGGUCAUUGGAAACUGGGGGACUUGAGUACAGAAGAGGAAAGCGGAAUUCCAAGUGUAGCGGUGAAAUGCGUAGAGAUUUGGAGGAACACCAGUGGCGAAGGCGGCUUUCUGGUCUGUAACUGACGCUGAGGCGCAAAAGCGUGGGGAGCAAACAGGAUUAGAUACCCUGGUAGUCCACGCCGUAAACGAUGAGUGCUAAGUGUUAGGGGGUUUCCGCCCCUUAGUGCUGCAGCUAACGCAUUAAGCACUCCGCCUGGGGAGUACGGCCGCAAGGCUG